UCCUUUGUUAUGCUUUUUAACUCCAAUGACAUGCAGACUCUAAUAUUUGUUUUUUUCCUUAUGUUAUGUUCUGUUUUCUCUGAAUGUCAAAAUGGACAGCGUGUUCCUAAGUUGCACUGAUUUAAUUGUUAAACUACCCAAACAUUGUCUUAACUUGGGUACAAAUUGAAAUUUUUGUUCUUUCUCAUGUUUGCGAAAUUUUGAAGCAAAUCCCACUGGAAAAAACAUAACCAACACAAGUUAAGUAAAGCAACGUCCAGUGACCACAAUACCCCUGAAAAAUCUCUGCACCUACUUCCUCAAUGCCCGAUGUUCAUACUCAUAGUAGGCAUAGAUCAUGUCAGGGUCCAUCCUAAAUUUCUACAUUCAAAUGCGACCAGCCAUAAAUGGGCUCUGGGAGCUUUUGCGGAGCUUCUAGACAACUCUUUUUUUGGAUGAGGUACACCUAGACUCUUCUUUGCUUCCAAAAGUUAAGAAUCA